GGAAGGCAUUCGUAUCCGGUGGUGCGGCCGGGCUUCAAACCCGGUUGAGGGCGUCAGACGCUCUCAGGAUGGUUCGACUCCAUCUGCCUUCCGCCA
rnacentral:tRNA from 1 species